rnacentral:rRNA from 1 species
AACACAUGCAAGUCGAGGGGCAGCAUGGUCUUAUCUUGCUAAGGCCGAUGGCGACCGGCGCACGGGUGAGUAACACGUAUCCAACCUGCCGUCUACUCUUGGACAGCCUUCUGAAAGGAAGAUUAAUACAAGAUGGCAUCAUGAGUCCGCAUGUUCACAUGAUUAAAGGUAUUCCGGUAAACGAUGGGGAUGCGUUCCAUUAGAUAGUAAGCGGGGUAACGGCCCACCUAAUCUUCGAUGGAUAGGGGUUCUGAGAGGAAGGUCCCCCACAUUGGAACUGAGACACGGUCCAAACUCCUACGGGAGGCAGCAGUGAGGAAUAUUGGUCAAUGGGCGAGAGCCUGAACCAGCCAAGUAGCGUGAAGGAUGACUGCCCUAUGGGUUGUAAACUUCUUUUAUAAAAGAAUAAAGUCGGGUAUGGAUACCCGUUUGCAUGUACUUUAUGAAUAAGGAUCGGCUAACUCCGUGCCAGCAGCCGCGGUAAUACGGAGGAUCCGAGCGUUAUCCGGAUUUAUUGAGUUUAAAGGGAGCGUAGAUGGAUGUUUAAGUCAGUUGUGAAAGUUUGCGGCUCAACCGUAAAAUUGCAGUUGAUACUGGAUAUCUUGAGUGCAGUUGAGGCAAGCGGAAUUCGUGGUGUAGCGGUGAAAUGCUUAGAUAUCACGAACAACUCCGAUUGCGAAGGCAGCCUGCUAAGCUGCAACUGACAUUGAGGCUCGAAAGUGUGGGUAUCAAACAGGAUUAGAUACUCUGGUAGUCCACACGGUAAACGAUGAAUACUCGCUGUUUGCGAUAUACUGCAAGCGGCCAAGCGAAAGCGUUAUGUAUUCCACGUGGGGAGUACGCCGGCAACGGUGAAACUCAAAGGAAUUGACGGGGGCCCGCACAAGCGGAGGAACAUGUGGUUUAAUUCGAUGAUACGCGAGGAACCUUAUCCGGGCUUAAAUUGCAGAUGAAUUACGGUGAAAGCCUUAAGCCGCAAGGCAUCUGUGAAGGUGAUGCAUGGUUGUAGUCAGCUUGUGCCGUGAGGUGUCGGAUUAAGUGCCAUAACGAGCGCAACCCUUGUUGUCAGUUACUAACAGGUUUUGGUGAGGACUCUGACAAGACAUGCCAUGGUAAGAUGUGAGGAAGGUGGGGAUGAUGUCAAAUCAGCACGGCCCUUACGUCCGGGGCUACACACGUGUUACAAUGGGGGGUACAGAGGGCCGCUACCACGCGAGUGGAUGCCAAUCCCCAAAACCUCUCUCAGUUCGGACUGGAGUCUGCAACCCGACUUCACGAAGCUGGAUUCGCUAGUAAUCGCGCAUCAGCCACGGCGCGGUGAAUACGUUCCCGGGCCUUGUACACACCGCCCGUCAAGCCAUGGGAGCCGGGGGUACCUGAAGUGCGUAACCGCGAGGAGCGCCCUAGGGUAAAACUGGUGACUGGGGCUAAGUCAUAAC